GUCUAAUCUGCCCACUGAAGAUUUUAAAGGGCCGCAGUAUUUUAACUGUGCUAAGGUAGCAUAAUCAAUAGUCUUUUAAUUGAAGGCUGGAAUGAACGAUUGGACAAAAAAUAACCUGUCUUUUUAUUAACUUUUGAAUUUUACUUUUAAGUGAAAAGGCUUAAAUAAAUUAAGGGGGCGAUAAGACCCUAUAAAAUUUUACAAAAAUAUUAAUUUUUAUAAUAAAAAUAUGUUAAUUUGGUUAAUUAAUAAUUUGUUUAGCUGGGGCGGCAUUAAUAAAAAGUUUAACUGUUAAUGAAGUUUAAUACUUAUAAGUAGAAUAGUGAUCUUUAUUAAGGAUUAAAAGAUUAAGUUACUUUAGGGAUAACAGCGUAAUUUUUCUUGAGAGCUCUUAUCGACAGAAGAAGUUGCGACCUCGAUGUUGAAUUAAGAUGUUUUUUAAAAGUAGAUUUUUAAUUAAUUAGUUUGUUCAACUAU
rnacentral:rRNA from 1 species